rnacentral:misc_RNA from 1 species
AAGUCGUAACAAGGUCUCCGUUGGUGAACCAGCGGAGGGAUCAUUACAGAGUUGCAAAACUCCCCUAAACCAUCGCGAACCCAACCCCUAAACAGUUGCUUCGGCGGCGCCCCGAAGGCCCUCAGCGGCCGGAGUGGCCCGCCGGGGACCCCCCAAACUCUUGUUUUUGACAAAAUGGCCUCUCUGAGUUACUGUACUUUAAUAAGUCAAAACUUUCAACAACGGAUCUCUUGGUUCUG